rnacentral:rRNA from 1 species
UACGGAAGGCAGCAGUGGGGAAUAUUGCACAAUGGGCGAAAGCCUGAUGCAGCUAUGCCGCGUGUAUGAAGAAGGCCUUAGGGUUGUAAAGUACUUUCAUCGGGGAGGAAAAAACCAAAACUAAUAAUUUUAUUUCUUGACGUUACCCGAAAAAGAAGCACCGGCUAACUCCGUGCCAGCAGCCGCGGUAAUACGGAGGGUGCUAGCGUUAAUCAGAAUUACUGGGCGUAAAGAGCACGUAGGUGGUUUUUUUAAAGUUCAGAUGUGAAAUCCCUGGGCUUAACCUAGGAACUGCAUUUUGAAACUGAAAUACUAGAGUAUCGUAGAGGGAGGUAGAAUUCUAGGUGUAGCGGUGAAAUGCGUAGAUAUCUGGAGGAAUACCUGUGGCGAAAGCGGCCUCCUAAACGAAUACUGACACUGAGGUGCGAAAGCGUGGGGAGCAAAACAGGGAUUAGAUACC